ACAAAGAAGAGUUUGAUCCUGGCUCAGGAUGAACGCUAGCGACAGGCCUAACACAUGCAAGUCGAGGGGUAGCAGAGAAGUAGCAAUACUUUUGCUGACGACCGGCGCACGGGUGAGUAACGCGUAUGCAACCUGCCUACUACAGGGGAAUAACCCGGAGAAAUUCGGACUAAUACCGCAUAAAACAGGGGUCCCGCAUGGGAAUAUUUGUUAAAGAUUUAUCGGUAGUAGAUGGGCAUGCGUUCCAUUAGCUUGUUGGUGAGGUAACGGCUCACCAAGGCAACGAUGGAUAGGGGAACUGAGAGGUUUAUCCCCCACACUGGAACUGAGACACGGACCAGACUCCUACGGGAGGCAGCAGUGAGGAAUAUUGGUCAAUGGGCGAGAGCCUGAACCAGCCAAGUCGCGUGAAGGAAGACUGCCUUAUGGGUUGUAAACUUCUUUUAUACAGGAAUAAAAAGACCUACGUGUAGGUUAUUGCAUGUACUGUAUGAAUAAGCAUCGGCUAACUCCGUGCCAGCAGCCGCGGUAAUACGGAGGAUGCGAGCGUUAUCCGGAUUUAUUGGGUUUAAAGGGUGCGCAGGCGGGAAUUUAAGUCAGCGGUGAAAUCUGGUCGCUUAACGAUCACACUGCCGUUGAAACUGGGUUUCUUGAGUAUGGAUGAAGUAGGCGGAAUUCGUUGUGUAGCGGUGACAUGCAUAGAUAUAACGAGGAACUCCGAUUGCGUAGGCAGCUUACUAAGCCAUAACUGACGCUCAAGCACGAAAGCGUGGGGAUCAAACAGGAUUAGAUACCCUGGUAGUCCACGCCGUAAACGAUGAUUACUAGUUGUAUGCGAUAUACCGUAUGUGACUAAGCGAAAGCGAUAAGUAAUCCACCUGGGGAGUACGCCGGCAACGGUGAAACUCAAAGGAAUUGACGGGGGCCCGCACAAGCGGAGGAACAUGUGGUUUAAUUCGAUGAUACGCGAGGAACCUUACCCGGGCUUGAAAUGCAGAAGACGAUCUAUGAAAGUAGAUUUCCAGCAAUGGCUUCUGUGUAGGUGCUGCAUGGUUGUCGUCAGCUCGUGCCGUGAGGUGUCGGCUUAAGUGCCAUAACGAGCGCAACCCUCAUCAUUAGUUACUAACAGGUUAAGCUGAGGACUCUAAUGAGACUGCCGUCGUAAGAUGCGAGGAAGGUGGGGAUGACGUCAAAUCAGCACGGCCCUUACGUCCGGGGCGACACACGUGUUACAAUGGAUGGUACAAAGGGUUGCUACUUGGUGACAAGAUGCUAAUCUCAAAAACCAUUCCCAGUUCGGAUCGGAGUCUGCAACUCGACUCCGUGAAGCUGGAUUCGCUAGUAAUCGCGCAUCAGCCAUGGCGCGGUGAAUACGUUCCCGGGCCUUGUACACACCGCCCGUCAAGCCAUGGAAGCCGGGGGGACCUGAAGUACGUAACCGCAAGGAGCGUCCUAGGGUAAAACUGGUGACUGGGGCUAAGUCGUAACAAGGUAGCCGUACCGGAAGGUGCGGCUGGAACACCUCCUUU
rnacentral:rRNA from 1 species